ensembl:lincRNA
CAGGCAGGAAGUGACAUAGCAUGGAGACUCAUAUUUAAGGAAGGAGAAGUAGGAAGUGGCCCCAUUUCCCCUCCAAAGCUCUUCCUCCAGCAGCGAAAUGUGAUCCACCGGUAAGGGAGGACACCAAUGGGAGGUGUCCGAUAAGAUUAGUCUUAUAAAAUAUAUAGAUUAAUGAUAAUUAAGGCUGAGCUAACAGAUGAGAAUCCUAGUCAUUGGCCAAGCAGCAUUUGUACAUAAUACAAGUCUCUCUGUGCAUUAAUUGGGGCCCUAAAUCUGGCCAGUGACUGGAGUAAAGUGCACACAUGAUAGUGGGGCUCGGUGGCUUUUGGUGGAAAGAUUUAUUGUAACACUAUUUAUUUAAGGGAUUUUCUUGUUUCCUCUUUAAAGGUCUCUAUUAUCUUCCUACGAUAAUUUUUGAGGUCCAUCUCUUCUUUAUCCUCUAUUUUGGGCUUUUCAGAUCUUGCUGGUGUGGAGUCCCUAGAUUCUGUUGGUGUCAUAUUGUUCUUUCUUUUGUUGAGUGUGUUCUUAUUCAGUCUUCUUCGCUUGACUUCUUCCAAUGGAUGCAGGUGGGAUCUCUCUAUCUCCUCUUGUCACCCAGUGGUGUGUGUGGGUCAAGACCUCUGGAUGGUCUUGCUUCUCCUGCUAGUCGCCUCACUCAGUCGGGGUCAAGCCAGCGGAGGAGGGGAAAGGAAGAAAACUGGCUUAAAACUUGGAAGAUGGAACUCACAUGUUCACAAGUUGAGAAGUUUAGAAAGCAGAAACAACCUUUUAAAGAAAAAAUACCUUCACGAUUCUUCAUGAAGGAUAAACCUGAACUUCAGGUUCUACAGUAAAAGGAACACCAUAAAUGUUCAUUGGUAUUUCUGAUGAAGCUCAAGCAGAAGGUGUGCCUUCCCCUGAAGUCAUUUUCUAGAUUGAUGGUUGCCCUUUGAUUCCUGUUGAUUCGUCUUUUAGAUAUAUUUUUUAUAGUUGGGAAAAAUAUUUUGUCUAUAUUAUGAAAACUAAUAGGUUAAUUUGAAAUAAGAGGCUGCAAAACAAAACAAAACCAAAAAACUCUCUUGUUCAAGAAAGGAAGAUAAUAAAUUUCUUCACACCUGUGGCAUGUUUACCAUAAAUCUCCCAAUUUCCAGUUGUCCUGGCUCUUACAAACUGUAUCUUUUUACCUAUUCAGAAUCUCCAUCUGUCUUGUAUGAUAGAGGUCUGUGAUGGUUUCAAUAAAAAUGGUCCCCAUAUUCUCAGGCAUUGAACACUUGAUCACCAGUGAAUGGUACUAUUUGGGAGGUUGAGGUAGUAUGGGCAUACUGGAGAAAGUAACACUCAGGGUGGACUCUGGGUCUCUAUAUGUUUGUCACACUUCCUGUUUCAUGUUUUCUCCUCUUCAAGAUUUCAGUGUGAGCCCUUGGCUUCCUGACACCAUGCCUACUACCUGCUUUUUCUGAUCUGACAUUAUGAACUCUGUUUGGAAAGGUAAGUGAAAAGAAACUGUUUCUUCUAUAAGUUAUCUUGACCAUGGUGGUUUUUCACAGCUACAGAAAAAUAACGAAUUCAACCACUCUUAAGAAUAUCUCAUUGAAAACAUGAUUACUUCAACUCCUUCAACUCUUAAAGUUACAUAACCCAAACUACACAAAUAACUUCUAAAUAACAAACCAAUGACCUACUGGACAAUAAGUUAGUUAAGGACUGUCUCUUAGAAAACCGUGAUGGAGUCUAUAGUACUGUAAACAAAACCUCCCAUACAUAGGUCUACCACUUAGAAAUGAUUGAAAAUUGGUCCACAAUUUGACUUCCCAAUUAUGUCUUCAAAGUGACAUUCAUCUUUCCUUUAUCCUUUUCCUUUAUCUCACUUCAUCUAUCCCUAAAUUAC